CAUCUCUUUGAAUUGUCUCUACUUUUGUCUCUUCUCCCUUCCAAAAUGGUGGUUGUUUCCUUGCAAAUCGACCGUUUCUCCACCCGCUUCGUCUCCCACGGUGACGUGGCUCGGUGUUGCGUGUAUCUGGAGAAUGGCGGCGAUGACGAUGAUGACGAUGAUAGGGUCGACGUUGCGCCCGCCGCGUAAUUAUACGUACUUGCAUUAUGAGAGGACAGAGAUGUGGGUUCGGGGAUUAUACAUUAGGGUUUAGGGUUACGAAGGAAAGAAAAUACGAGUUUAAAGUCUACUAUUGAGUUGACUUGAGCUAGCUUGAAUCACAUCUAGACAAAUUGAAGCAGGACGAAGAGCAAUGACGUAAAUUACACGAUGCAGCGGAAAAUAAAGGUAUGUAUGUUUCCGGACAAACCCGUAUCUAAAACUUCCUUUACUGCCUCUUUUUUUACUUCAAGGGUUCUUUCUUUUACUUCAAGUGAUUUUCCUGCAGUAAUUUCAAGACUACCAUAAUUCACUCUAUGUUUCUCUUACUUGGGGCAGUAAAAAACUUCCCAUAUUAACUGUGUUUAUUUGAAUCAGUAAAAAACUUCCCAUAUUAACUGUGUU